rnacentral:rRNA from 1 species
AGGACGAACGCUGGCGGCGUGCUUAACACAUGCAAGUCGAGCGGUAAGGCCUUUCGGGGUACACGAGCGGCGAACGGGUGAGUAACACGUGGGUGAUCUGCCCUGCACUUCGGGAUAAGCCUGGGAAACUGGGUCUAAUACCGGAUAUGACCUCCUAUCGCAUGGUGGGUGGUGGAAAGAUUUAUCGGUGCAGGAUGGGCCCGCGGCCUAUCAGCUUGUUGGUGGGGUAAUGGCCUACCAAGGCGACGACGGGUAGCCGACCUGAGAGGGUGACCGGCCACGACUGGGACUGAGACACGGCCCAGACUCCUACGGGAGGCAGCAGUGGGGAAUAUUGCACAAUGGGCGAAAGCCUGAUGCAGCGACGCCGCGUGAGGAUGACGGCCUUCGGGUUGUAAACCUCUUUCAGCAGGACGAAGCGCAAGUGACGGUACCUGCAGAAGAAGCACCGGCUAACUACGUGUCAGCAGCCGC